GGAACUUGGGCCAGGAAGAUCCUUAAUUUGUUCAUUUUUCCAGUUCACGGGAGGAAAAAAUGGAAUCCGUUACAGGCCCCAGUUUUCCAAAAGGAUGUUGAGCAUUUGCUUCCCAUUGUGAAAGGAAUGCGGACUCCUUACCUCUAACUAGAGUCAAGGCACCUGAGCAUCGGUGUUUUCCAUAAUGUUCCCUGUUUAAAACAUUUGUGGUUCGUCAUUUGUAGCAGAUGUAUUUAAAGGGCGAGGCCUUAGGAUUAUGUUCAGCCGAUGGUUUAUGAGAGUUUCCCUUGCCUUUGUUCAGGUUGACUGGUCUUAUGUGAAUCCCGGGGUACUCUAGCCCCCUCCCUUGGAGUUUAGACCCAUUCCAUCUAGAUCUGGGAUUCACUCUGAUCACCUGCAACGCCUUCUUUCCCCAAUUCAACUUCCCUAGUUUAUCGCUUCUACCCGCAGUAGGGAAGGCUGGUAACGGCUCUCCUUGGGCACUGGGGCAGAACAGUGGCGAGAAACACGUCCACAUAGCAUCAGGCAUGCAUACUGUAUACAAAUAGGAGCAAGAAGGGAGAGGACUAGCGGGGUGCGCAGGGUAUUUGAGAGGCUGGAUGAGGAGGCGCGGCGCCGAGGGGCGGCGCUCAAGCUAACAGUAUUUGAGAAGAACUGAGUUAAGGGGAGGGGCUCCAGUGGGUGGCGGGGAGAGGGAGGCACGCAUGCGCAAGACUUGAAUGGAGUAGGGGUUGGAGGUUUGGAAGGUCAGGAAGGGAAGGACUCGCAGGCAUAUUUACGAACGCAAAGUUGCUAGGAGUUGGUACCAGCAGUUGGGAGGUAGAGGUGGAGCUCAUGCGUAUUUGAGACAACAUCUUGAAGGUUGGGGAGAACGGUGAUGCCACAUGCAAUCAGAAACUAUGCCACUGGUGAAGAGGUAUAUUGAGCCCUGCCUGGUUAACCUCCAGUGAGGUUAUCAGAGAAUUGGGAGAGGCUCAAACCAGCAUCCUGCACCUAGUUAUCAAACCAUUGUGAAGUCUUGAUUCCUGGAUGGCCAGAAAACUUCUCAUUGGUCAAGAGCAACAUUAAGAUCUGCCUGUUACUCAUACUGAUGCUUCCUGCCCAGCAAGUUCAUCAGAGGAAGAGGAUGAAUUACGGUUGCCAUGGAUGUCCUUGUGAGGCAGUUGGGAAGCCUUGGCUGGAUUGUGAAGGAUAUUUGAAAAGUAUUUUAGAGUCCACCAGAUCCUCCAUGUGAAUGACCAUGCAGCAAAAGAAGGAGGGUCCUGUCAGUGAUUAAGGAUUAUGAAGUAUUAAUUCUUCCACUGAUAUCUCAAAAGGUGAUUUGGACAAAGGAACAGGUAUCUCAGGAGAAGACUUUAGUACUUGACUUCUGCUGAUUGUUGCCCAGUGGAAAUGUCUGCCUAAGAUGACCAGCUGUCUACAAAAAGCCUGAUUGGCUUCAGGAGUGGAGAGUUUAAUAGGCAAGAAGGAAGGGAGAAGACAGAAGGAAGAAACUCCCCCUGUACAGAGGCAGAUGGAGUGGGGCUCCAAAGCCGAAAGUGGAGGCCCCUACCUGCCAACAAUACCUGCCAGGUAUAUAUGCAGAGGCUGGAGGAGGCGGUGUUUGAUUUGCAUAGGGCUCAAGGGAUUGGUUUGACUAGGCAUUUCAUUCACAUGGCCUGUGAAAAAGCUUGCCCUCCCACCCUAGCCUUUUAAUAUGCAAAUGCAGGGCACCAUGAUAGUCUACACACGUGGGGAUAUGUGGGGGCGGCCAUGUUGCCAGGAACCUGUGGGGAAAGGGUAAGAAGGCCCCGGGAAUCUCCAUGUUUGGGUGGGCACAGUUCCUAAUGGCCUGCAUUUGCAUAUCAAAAGUUGCUGGCCUGGCUCUGAGAGCCAGAGCUUUACAAGAAACUUUCCCAGAGAUGCUUUAACAAACAAAAACUUACCAAGGACCCCUUUUCCUACAACAUUCCCCCCUGUGGAGAUGCCACCCUAACUGCUGUUAGGGGUUUUGGGGCGACGACUCUUUCUGGCUACUUCCUGCUGAAAAGGGACAUCGAAUGGGGAACAGCAGCUAAGGCUCCUUCUGGGGAUGAUCUAAGAAUCCUCAGAAGAAUGGCGUUGUCCAUGUGUGGUUCAGUUUACAGCACCGUUUGGAGUUUGAUUGCUUCUAGGCGAGAAUAAACAAUUUGAGUUAUAGUAUUGAGUAUACAGGGUCCAAAUAUCAAUACAAGACAUAUAAGGAAGAGAGUGCUUAAUAAAGGGGUUAAGCAAUUCCAUAAAGAAGACUGGAAUUUAUUAAAGAGGGAUUGUAGCCACUCGAGGCUGAAGCCGGCAUUUUCCCUGAGCCUGUCAAUAAUUUUGAUUUGAUUUCUAAGUACCUGUAGAUUUUCCUCUACUUUACUAGAGUUGUUAAUCCAAAAGCAGCGUGUUUCAUUUAAAACUACAUUACUAAACCUAAUAAAAAGUCCUAGCAGACUCAGUGAUAGUAAAA